rnacentral:rRNA from 1 species
UACGUAGGGUGCGAGCGUUAAUCAGAAUUACUGGGCGUAAAGCGCACGCAGGUGGCUGAGUCAGUCGAUUGUGAAAGCCCUGGGCUUAACCUGGGAAUUGCAGUCGAUACUACUCAGCUAGAGUAUGGGAGAGGGUAGUGGAAUUCCCGGUGUAGCGGUGAAAUGCGUAGAUAUUGGGAAGAACACCGGAGGCGAAGGCGGCUCGCUGGACCUGAUCUGACGCUGAGGUGCGAAAGCGUGGGGGAGCGAACAGG